UUACUUGAUGAUAGUAAAAGAUCUGAUG
rnacentral:piRNA from 1 species